AAGUCGUAACAAGGUUUCCGUAGGUGAGCCUGCGGAAGGAUCAUUACCGAGUUAGGGUCCUCUGGGCCCGAUCUCCAACCCUCUGUGUAUCUACCUCAUGUUGCUUUGGCGGGCCGUUGGGCCUGGCCCACCGUCGGUUUUCGGCUGGCGUGCGCCCGCCAGAGACCACCAAACUCUUGUUUAUCAAUGUCGUCUGAGUACUAUGCAAAUAGUUAAAA
rnacentral:misc_RNA from 1 species